CGUGUUUAACAAUGUCGUAUGUAACUUUAGAGACGGUCCGUUAAUUAUCGGACGUCCGACGUCACACCGACUUUAUUCCAGUGAACUCCUCUGUAAAUCUGAUGAACUUUUCAUGUCGGUCAUAUAAACAGUGAAGCCAGUUCUCGGAAAUGUUAAAAAGCACUUAACGUCUAUACGAACAUGAUUUACAGAUGGAAAAUCGUUGAAACAAUUUACAAAAAAAAAAAAAAAAAAAGUUGGACGUACUCAUUGGAGGUACUUUGUUUUUCACUGAAGCGUUAUCGGUCCUCGAGGCCUCAUCACUUUCGGUAGAAAUGUCUGCCAAAUGAACAGACGUGACGCUUUAUUUACUUCUUCUCGACGUCCGUGAUAAAUUGUGUGUCUGAAAACCUUCAUAAACACUCUCGAUCUCUCUCCCACUCUCAAUUCCUUCCCACGGGGGGAAUAAUUCUGCAGAUUGUGAAAUUCCUGGGAUCAAGUUCAAGUAUUCGAUUUGGAAAAACCUAGAAGCUUUCUACUCUGACAUUUCCGAACGUCAAGCCAAGUUAAAGAUGUUUCUGAUUUGGAUGAACGAGAGAGCGAGAUAAAGUGAGACACACACACACACAGUAUCUAGAAGGUGGAGUGUGUUUUGACCAAUGAGCUACAGAAACACGCACAAACGCACAGUUUCCUUCUCGUAGUCAGGUCCGUUAGUCGGUUUUAGACUGAAACCCGGUGUAAAUUGCUCUGUGAGCUCCGUUUAGUGCUCGUGUUGCGGCAGCACUAUGGUCUCGAGUGUUCUGUGGAUCUCGGUUGCGACGCUGGCGUUUCUGCGCCUCGCGGAGACAGGUUCUGAGUAUGCGUUGCUGCAUGAAGGAGAAAAAUGUGGAGAAUACGACCAGGGCAGGUGCGAAUCCGGUCUCAUCUGCGUGCCUGACAAUCCCGAGCCCGAGUUAUUCAACGCAGUAGGAGUGUGCACCAGGGUUCCGGGUUGUAACUGCCUCCGAGUUCCAGUGUUUGCCGAGGCAAGGCUGUCGAGGUCGUCAGGUGAUCGAUCCGUGCGGGUGUUGUACACACUGCGCCAAGACAAAGGGGCAGGUGUGCGGCGGGCCGAGCUGGAGAUACGGUAACUGUGAUCCGGAUUUGGUUUGCGCUCUUGUCGUGGGGCUCGAUUCGGCCAGACCUCCACAGACGGGCGUGUGCAAAGUGAUACCAAAACAUCUAAAAAAACACUUCCCCGUUCCUCUUUGUCCCGUUCAAAACGGUUGCAACGUGCACGUUGGGAAUUGUGACUGUUAUUCAGACCAGUCCUGUGACUCACCGUUCAGUUACAGCACCUACGAAGCCUGCAAUAAAGUUCUAAUGGCUUUCUUGAUGUAUGACUUUUAUGCCAACGACAUGGAAACGCCUCCCAAACCCGAGGUACCUGCAUAUGAGUGUAAGGAGUGGAGCUGUGAGGUUCAGGCCUGCGAGUGUGUGUGUCAAUAUAGAAAAUGUGUCUACAGGUUAGCUCCACUUAACGAGGCCGCCUGCUGCGACGUACUGAAGGAAUCUGGGUGCCUUAAUACGUCGUGUCCUGGGACUCCCACUCUGGCUUGUCCGGCAGACUCCUUCAUUAGUGAGCCCCACACCGAACCCGGUCACUGCUGCCCUGUUGUGCCUGCUAUGUGCACCUGCGACUUCCAGACCUGCACUCCAAAACCCACAUACUGCCCUAACCGCGGACUUCCCCGACUCCUUGUGAAGGGAAACGGCCACCCGGGGACCUGCUGCGACCGCUACGAGUGUGUGAAAGAAGGAGAUUAAUUAGCAUGUGUAAUAUAAUACACACUUUUAUCUUAUUAUCCUUGUGAAACUAACCGUAACCUCACUAACCGUAACCUUAACCUCAGUAACCAAAAGGAAACAUUUCGGCUCUGGUAGAUUUAUUUUUCAUUUCAGGCAAACACCUUGCUGUUUCAUGUAAUGCUCAGAAUGCUUGAUGUGCAAAAAAAUCUGGAAUGUACUCAACAAUAAAAGAAAUAUUUACAGGAAGAAAUUGUCUCUCGUGUUUAUGAAGCGUUAACCUGAACAGUGUGAGAUUGAGAAGAGAAGGAAAGCCAGAUCAAACAUCUGGACGUAUCGGAC
ensembl:lncRNA